ACGGUGAAAGAUGGGCAUGCGUCUUAUUAGUUAGAUGGUGUGGUAACGGCACACCAUGACUACGAUAAGUAGGGGUCCUGAGAGGGAGAUCCCCCACACUGGAACUGAGACACGGUCCCA
rnacentral:rRNA from 1 species